AUAUCCCAGUGUCCUUUGAAUCAACUUCCUUUUUUCUUUUUUCCGGCGUUCAAGAUGUCGAAGCGAGGUGAGGUUUUGUUUCUGUAGGAUCCUCCACCAUCUGUCGUGCAGUGGCUGGCGGAUUCGUCAGGAGCGGUGGCCCUAGGCAGCUGGGGCGCUUUGCUCUCCUUCAGGCCGGAGAGAGAGAGCCAGGCCACCGCGAGAGCACUGCCAGGGCCCUCGAAAGUGGCAGUGGGGUGCUGGAGAGUUGAGAUGGCAGGAUCCCGACGUGAAUGUAGUCUGGAUACCGCGAGAUCGGUCCGCGAAUAGGGCUAUCGUAAUGGGGUUGAAGUUAGACUGGAUUAGGCCCUGGUUUGCGCGACCUCUGCGGUUUUAUGCCUUGCAGGAGUAAUUGCGUUUUGCGAAAGUUAGAGCAAGGGCUGAGUCGUCUAGGUUUCUUAAUUUCGAUGUCAGAGUGUUAAUAGUAAGAAAUAGGCUACUUUCCGUGAGAAUCGGGUGGCACAUGGGGACGGCAUAAGUAAAAUCCGAGCGAGCUAAUCUAUAGCGUACAGUCUAUCAAAGCAUGUGCGGUGAAUUACAGCUUGAGUAUGAGGGGGAACUCCGAACCAUGUCUAGAUUGUGAUCUCUUUAUCCUGUUUCCCUUCCCUUUAUAUCCACAGGACGUGGUGGGUCCUCUGGUGCGAAAUUCCGGAUUUCCUUGGGUCUUCCGGUAGGAGCUGUAAUCAAUUGUGCUGACAACACAGGUGAGGUCUUUGCACGUUGCUAUACUCCCCCUUUUAAAAGCACUCAAUGGGCCUGUGGCUAAUGACCUAUUGAGCCGUCAAGAAAGGGGAGAGUGAAAACAUCGCUUUUGGGUGAAGUGGCAACAUGUGUUGUUUGCUUCAAUCGGUGGUGUGACAAGGCGUUCUUGCGGACUAACUGCUUGGGCAGUGAGUGGAGGGAGGGGCUUUGGAAGUGUUUGGGAAAUGUUAUACUGAUGGAACGGCCGGAUGGCCCUCAACAUUUUUUAUUUUUAUUUACAUUCUUUUGUAGGAGCCAAAAACCUGUAUAUCAUCUCCGUGAAGGGGAUCAAGGGACGGCUGAACAGACUUCCCGCUGCUGGUGUGGGUGACAUGGUGAUGGCCACAGUCAAGAAAGGCAAACCAGAGCUCAGAAAAAAGGGUGAGUAAACACUGAGCCCACCUUAAUACUGAUGAGUAGUGGGGGGACGCUUUCCUUUAUUGGAAAAUGGAUCAGUUUUCAAGGCCUCAAGUUUGUUUUCCAUUGAGAGGCAGUGUGAGAUAAGUAUCUUAAGUUUUUGCUCAUAUUGUGUUGGAGGGGGGACCAUCAUCUUGUCACUUCCAUACCUUAGUUGUUUUUUUGUUGUUUGGUUUGGUUUUUUGAGAUGGAGUCUCUCUCUGUCGCCCAGCCCAUACUGGAGUGCAAUGGCACGAUCUUGGCUCACUGCAACCUCCGCCUCCUGGGCUCUCAAAAAAAAAAAAAAUUACAAAACGAAAACAACAAGCUGCCCGUUGCUUAUUUUAUUGUUAUUUGUUUUUGAGAUGGAGUCUCACUUGUUGCCCAGGCUGGAGUGCAGGGGCACAUAUCUGUUCACUGCAACCUCCACCUCCCAGGCUCAAGAGAUUGUCCUGCCUCAGCCUCCCGAGUAGCUGGGAUCAUAGGUGUGCACCACCACACCCAGCUAAUUGCUCAUUACUUAAUCUCAGGCUCCCCACUCAAAAUUUUUCCUGUCAGGUGUAUGAUUUAAAGGGGGAGGCCUCAAAAUACUUGCAGCUUGUGUCCUGUCUGGCUUUAGAACUUCUGGUGUUUGGUGCAUUUUAACUUCAGCGCUUGCACUUUUUUCCUGUGCCUGCCUAAUCUGUCUCUACCCUGGGAUGUCUUCUCUUCUAAAGAGUUCCUGGCCAUCCCUUGAUUUACAAAUGUGAUGUUGAUUUGUCAGCCCUGUAUUACAGUUACUCCUAUUCCUGUAUCCACCCCACGAUGCUGUCCAGUAGAUUUUUAGCCUUUGGGUUAGAAAUUGUUUUUUGUUCACCAUUAAUAUCCAUUUGAGAGCUGGGUAGCACUGUGAUUGUGAUUCAGCAAUUGCAUGGGCUUUUUCCUCUUCUCAGAACACUUCCUGGGUCUGAUUGGUGGCCCAGGGAGCUGUCAGAGAAGAGCCGAGCAAAUGGCCUUCACUUUGUAGAUGAGAUGGCAGGAGGGUGGAUUGUUGGUCUCAGUCAGUGGUGGGACAGACCAGAGCUCCGAACACUUCAGUUUUAAAACUAGUUGUGAGUUUCCAAUUCUGUUAAUGUCUUUUUUGGUCCUUGUUUCUGCUAAAUGAAUACAUCCCCUCCCCUUGGAACUUAAUAUCAAUAAAUAACAAGCACAGAAAUAUGCAAAAGGGCCAGGUCUACUUGAAGAAUUUGUGAGGAUUAAAUGGUUUAUGAGUAGAGGUGGGUCAGUCAGUAAGUAUUGGCUACCUCAUGUGUGUCCCAUUACUAACUUGGUUAGACUUAUCUAUUUUUUGUGUAGUCUUCCUGUCAUUAUAAAAAUUCUGUGUAAGGACCCCAUGCUAGUAUCAGUGAAGAUUGUGAAUCCAGGUGUGUCUGACUCUACAAUAGUUCUUCACAAGCAUUAUAUUUCACUGUGUAGUGAUACUUCAUUUUGAAAGUUGGGAAAAGCGUCUUUUUCACUUUAGUACAGAUGGGUGUAAAAGUUACUUAGGACACUGGAAAACAGUUCAUUAAAAGUAAAACAAAGCCUGGUGCUUGGGCCCAGGAAUUCAAACUGUUUUCCAGUGUAAAUCUGAAUAGCUUGGUCUCUGCUCAUUGCCAGGACUGGGAGGAGUUGGGGGUCCCAGGUCCCAUUUCUACAUCCCAAUUCAGUGAUACUGGGAUCUUAAUAACCUACCUGUGAGGUAAAGUUGGAAAAGGCAUAGGCAAGGAUAGUUGUCCUGAGAGUUUUACACUUGUGAGAAAAUACUGGCAGCUUUGAUUUUAAGAUGUGAAUAGAUGAUUGUGGUUCACGCCUAUACUCCCAGCACUUUGGGAGGCCAGGCUUGCCAACAUGGCAAAACCCUGUCUCUAUG
rnacentral:sRNA from 1 species